AAACAAUUGUCCUGAAGCCAAACCCAGUUGACGAACCCUGUUUUAUAGUAUUCCAUGGCCUUUACUGGCCAACUGCUGUUAUGUUUAUGAUAUACUAUGGUGUUGUGUCACUAGACUUUGACCAGAUAUUAUUACAUCCAAAGAUCAACUGAACCUAGAACAUAGAUACAGAGACACUUGUCAUCAGGAAGGUGCUCUCUCAGCACAACGGACAAUAUCUCAAUGACUUGACAUGUUCUGGUUGUGAAUUCAGGCUACAAGGGGUUUGUGCUCUAAAAUGAGUCUCUCUGGGGAGAAAGAGGAGGAGGGCCCUGCCUCUAAAAGGAUUGUCUUUGGGGAACAUGGCACCAAAUCUAAGAGGUUUGUGGUGGCAGGGUAACCUAGUGGUUAGAGCAUUGGACUACUAACCGAAAGGUUGCAAGUUCAUAUCCCCGAGCUGACAAGGUACUAGUCUGUCAUUCUGCCCCUGAACAGGCAGUUCCUAGGCUGUCAUUAAAAAUAAGAAUUUGUUCUUAACUUACUUGCCUAGUUAAAUAAAGGUUAAAAAAUAAAAGGUUAAUUCAUGUCAUGAAUACUUGAACCAGGUUAUGUAGACGAUUAGUGUAACCAAUAGUGAGGGGUGUGUCAAAAUUAUUAUGUUAAUAAGAAUGAAUUAGUGAAACUGUUAAAAAACAAAAGUUUAUGGCAUGUUGAAUAUGCUAUUGUUAUCAUAUGGGAACAUCAUUGAAUAUUGUACAUAACAUUAGCAUCAAUAUACAUUAUUGUUUAAUUCAAUUUCACAUAUUUAAUUGUUUCCUAUUUCAAUUCAUUUUUUUGUUACAUGUAAUGUUUUGGUUCAAACAUAAUGCAUAAUAAGCAUCAUCAACAGGGGGAACAUAUUGGAUGUAUACUAAUAAGCUGUAGAAAGAAUAAAUCCAUUUAAAAGAGAGAAUUGUUCAUAAGAAGGGCUUGAGAUCAAAGUCAAUAUUCAGACCACUAGGGGUCAAUGUUUUUAGGAUAUCCAGUAAGCCUCCCCUUGUAGUAGUACGAUCUCCAUGUUAACUCCUCUCCUUGGUAGAGCAACAUGCUCAAUGCCUGUGUAUUGGAGGUAUGAGAUUGGAAGGUUAGCUUCAACAAAGUGAGCUGCUAUUGGAUAGUCAAUGUUCUUACACCUGAUUGAGCUGCGGUGUUCAGCUAUGUGUUGUUUAAUUGUCUUUUCUUUUGUCCUACAUAGGCUUUCCCACAUGAACAGGUGAUGAGAUAAAUUAUUUGCUUGGUCUUACAUGAGAUGAUCCCCUAACAGGGAUGUUUCUACCUGUAUGUGUGUGUCUGAAGUAGGAUGUUUUUAUAGUUCUAUUUGCACUGAGCCAUGUUUGUAGUUCCCAUUUGGAAUGGGUGUCAAGAGUGUCUGAGUGGCCCAGGGGGCAGGUCAGAUCUCACCAAGAUAUCUCCAAGAGUGUCUGAGUGGGCUCAGGGGGCAGGUCAGAUCUCACCAAGCUAUCUCUAAGAGUGUCUGAGUAUGCUCAGGGGUCAGGUCAGAUCUCACCAAGCUAUCUCUAAGAGUGUCUGAGUGGGCUCAGGGGUCAGGUCAGAUCUCACCAAGCUAUCUCUAAGAGUGUCUGAGUGGGCUCAGGGGUCAGGUCAGAUCUCACCAAACUAUCUCAAAUAUUGCGACCACACUUAUAGACCACCAGUGGGGGUUCCUUUUUUUUGUUUGCAAUUUUUUUGUUUGUCUGAUUGCAGAAUAUUCCAGUGCUUUUUCAGGAUUGCUUUCAUUUUCUCUGAAUACUUGGUGUACUUGGUGCAAAAGAUGGUUGUUUUUCUUCUUUGGUAGAUUGUUUUGCAAUUCCUCUCUUGGUUUUUGAGAUGUUUUCAUCAUUGCAGCAUCGAGUUGUGUCCUUGUAGCCUCUCAUUUUGAAAUUAUCUGUCUUUUUAAAAAAUUCUGUCAAAAUCCAAUAGUUUUUCCAUCAUACAUUUUUCCUAUAGAGAAUUGUAGAAACACUUCAAAUGUUUUGUGUAUGUUGGGGUGGUGCAGCGGUUCUUGUGGGCACAUUUUGUCAUCAAAGUCUGUCAUUCUCUGGAUUUAUGGUGCUUUCAAGGAAACUGGGAAGUUUGAAUUAUGAUGUUAGUGAUUUUCAGGACGGAGCUCUAGAAAGAGGCCCAAGUUCCCGACUUGUAUUUUCAAGUCGGAUGACUGCUCAAACUGUAUUUUCUCAGUAGGAGCAUGGUUUUUUUCUGGGUUUCCAGUUGUCCUGAAAUCACUGAAGUCUGAUAUUUCCCAGUUUCAGUUGUUUUGAAUGCAGCAGAAGUUAUGCUGGAUUCACAGCAUGGCCAAUGUAUUCAACCUUUUCUGCCCCAUGGUGUUACAGGUGAAUGUUUAUCCUUUUAAGCUUGGAAAAGAGACCAUUAAAUGCAGAUUUGGACCACACAUCCUCUCCACUGAAUUGCUGGCUAGUGGAUGUUUUGCAAUGCUUGCAGUUAGCCACAGAUUCCUUCCAAACCACUCAUUCCAAACCACUCAUUGCUAGCUAAGAUGUUGAUCGUAUGAUGUUGACAUGAUCAGUCCAAUCAAAGCUACUGUAGACAAAACGUGAGUUGACGUCAUUUUAUCUGUGGCCAAUGACCUUGAGCCUUUUGAAUGGGCACUUCUAAUGUAACUCUAGGGCAGCACCCAAUCGGCUUGAAUUUUUAAGCUCUCCCUGUAGAUUUUGUGGUGAUGUAGUGUCUCCAUGAGUGACAGAACACUGAGCCAAUCAAGGCGCAACUACAGAACAUUACCAACUACGCUCAGUAUUUCCUGCUGGCUGCCCCACCACCGCAGAAAGCACUGAGCUAGGCUGAAACAGCUGCAUUUUGGAGCUGCCUUACUCAAUAAAUCAAAAAAGAGACCAUAUUUGUAUGUGGCUUAUUAACUCAAUUAUUUUUUUCUUACAUUAUUUGCAAACUGAUAUAUGACAGGUAUUAAUGCCAAAAUAACAUGCUAAACAGGUGGGGCUCUGUACCUGAAUCUGUACCUGAAUAACAGGUGGGGCUCUGUACCUGAAUAACAGGUGGGUCUCUGUACCUGAAUAACAGGUGGGUCUCUGUACAUGAAUAACAGGUGGGGCUCUGUACCUGAAUAACUCACCUUCUGAACAUUCUAUUCCCAGCCCAAUGUUCUGCAUCACAAUGCCAGCUUUGCUAUUGUUAUUAAUGAGACCUACCUGUGUUAACAUUGUGGGUUUUACCUAAAUUAUUUGUAUUAUUACUAUUGCUACAGCUACUUGGUGAGCAAACUUUUGGUGACCCACAGUGCUAGUGAUGGCUGACACACACCGAUCAAAUGUUAAACAUUUUCUGGUCAUUUAAAAAAAUAUAUAUAUUUCACCUUUAUUUAACCAGGUAGGCUAGUUGAGAACAAGUUCUCAUUUGCAACUGCGACCUGGCCAAGAUAAAGCAUAGCAAUUCAACACAUACAACAACACAGAGUUACACAUGGAAUAAACAAAACAUAGUCAAUAAUACAGUAGUACAUAAGAAAACAAAAAGUACAGUAUAUAUACAGUGAGUGCAGAUGAGGUAGGCUAAGUCAAUAAAUAGGCCAUGGUGGCGAAGUAAACACAAUAUAGCAAUUAAAACACUGGAAUGGUAGAUGUGCAGAAGAUGAAUGUUUCAAGUAGAGAUACUGGGGUGCAAAGGAGCAAGAUAAAUAAAUAAAUACAGUAUGGGGAUGAGGUAGAUAGAUGGGAUGUUUACAGAUGGGCUAUGUACAGUUGCAGUGAUCUGUGAGCUGCUCUGACAGCUGGUGCUUAAAGCUAGUGAGGGAGAUAUGAGUCUCCAGCUUCAGAGAUGUUUGCAGUUCGUUCCAGUCAUUGGCAGCAGAGAACUGGAAGGGAAGACGACCAAAGGAGGAAUUGGCUUUGGGUGUGACCAGUGAGAUAUACCUGCUGGAGCGCGUGCUGCGGGUGGGUGCUGCUAUGGUGACCAGUGAGCUGAGAUAAGGUGGGGCUUUACCUAGCAGAGACUUGUAGAUAACCUGUAGCCAGUGGGUUUGGCGACAAGUAUGAAGCGAGUGCCAACCAACGAGAGCGUACAGGUCGCAAUAGUGGGUAGAGUAUGGGGCUUUGGUGACCAAACGGAUGGCACUGUGAUAGAUUGCAUCCAGUUGGUUGAGUAGAGUGUUGGAGGCAAUUUUAUAGAUGACAUCACCGAAGUCGAGGAUUGGUAGGAUAGUCAGUUUUACGAGGGUAUGUUUGGCAGCAUGAGUGAGGGAUGCUUUGUUGCGAAAUAGGAAGCCAAUUCUACAUUUAAUUUUGGAUUGGAGAUGCUUAAUGUGAGUCUGGAAGGAGAGUUUACAGUCUAGCCAGACACCUAUGUAUUUGUAGUUGUCCACGUAUUCUAAGUCAGAGCCGUCCAGAGUAGCGAUGCUGGACGGGCGAGCAGGUGCGGGCAGCGAUCGGUUGAAGAGCAUGCAUUUAGUUUUAUUUGCGUUUAAGAGCAGUUAGAGGCCACGGAAGGAGAGUUGUAUUGCAUUGAAGCUCGUCUGGAGGUUAGUUAACACAGUGUCCAAAGAGGGGCCAGAAGUAUACAGAAUGGUGUCGUCUGCGUAGAGGUGGAUCAGAGAGUCACCAGCAGCAAGAGCAACAUCAUUGAUGUAUACAGAGAAGAGAGUCAGCCCGAGGCGUGAACCCUGUGGCACCCGCAUAGAGACUGCCAGAGGUCCGGACCACAGGCCCUCCGAUUUGACACACUGAACUCUAUCAGAGAAGUAGUUGGUAAACCAGGCGAGGCAAUAAUUUGAGAAACCAAGGCUGUCGAGUCUGCCAAUAAGAAUGUGGUGAUUGACAGAGUUGAAAGCCUUGGCCAAGUCGAUGAAAACGGCUGCAUAGUAAUGUCUCUUAUCGAUGGCGGUUAUGAUGCCGUUUAGGACCUUGAGCGUGGCUGAGGUGCACCCAUGACCAGCUCAGAAACCAGAUUGCAUAGCGGAGAAGGUACGGUGGGAUUUGAAAUGGUCGGUAAUCUGUUUGUUAAUUUGGCUUUCGAAGACCUUAGAAAGGCAGGGUAAAAUAGAUAUAUGGUCAUGGUUAACCAUAUUUGUUUUCAGAAAAAGGUAUACAACCUAAGUGAAACACAUGUCCCUGUCCUCUUUUUCAAGGUGUGGCUGAAUAUAUAUUAUAUAUAUACUUUAAUAUUAAGAAAUAACACUUUUUUUGAUGGCUUGUUGUUUCUAAAUGGCUGCUGGGUAAGUUGAUAUGCAUCGAAUUCUUCGUUUGUAGGCAUUGCAUUGAGCGAAUGCUGCGCAGGUUCACUGAGUUGCAAACCAAAUGGACAGGUCUAGCUCAUUGAUUUGUAGAUCUGACGCAAUUUCUACAUCAGAUUAUGAGCCAAGCAAGUGUCGCAAUGAGUUAUGUAGUACCCACAGAAGGCCACAGGAGGGGCAAGAGAGCUAUACAACCAUACUGAUUUUUGCCUUAAAAACCCAAAACCUAACAUCCAAUAAAAUGUAUUUAUAACGCCCUUUUUACAUCAGCAGAUGUAAAUUAAUUUACAUGAAUUUACCCUGAUUUCUAGUGAUGGGUAGCGUAGAACACUUUUAGAAACUAUUUUAGUAAUAACAUUAUGUUAGUAAAUACAAAUAUAGUACUAACUAGCAUUUGUAUUAUUCUGUUAAUCAAAACCUGUCUAAGCAUUUAG
ensembl:lncRNA